rnacentral:rRNA from 1 species
AUUGAACGCUGGCGGCAGGCCUAACACAUGCAAGUCGAACGGUAACAGGAAGAGGCUUGCUUCUUUGCUGACGAGUGGCGGACGGGUGAGUAAUGUCAGGGAAACUGCCUGAUGGAGGGGGAUAACUACUGGAAACGGUAGCUAAUACCGCAUAACGUCGCAAGACCAAAGAGGGGGACCUUCGGGCCUCUUGCCAUCGGAUGUGCCCAGAUGGGAUUAGCUAGUAGGUGGGGUAACGGCUCACCUAGGCGACGAUCCGUAGCUGGUCUGAGAGGAUGACCAGCCACACUGGAACUGAGACACGGUCCAGACUGCUACGGGAGGCAGCAGUGGGGAAUAUUGCACAAUGGGCGCAAGCCUGAUGCAGCCAUGCCGCGUGUAUGAAGAAGGCCUUCGGGUUGUAAAGUACUUUCAGCGGGGAGGAAGGGAGUAAAGUUAAUACCUUUACUCAUUGACGUUACCCGCAGAAGAAGCACCGGCUAACUCCGUG